GAAAUUAUUAAAUUUCUAUGAAAACUCAUUUUAUGGAAUUAUUAAUUUAGGAAUUUAAAAUUUGCACGUCUAAUUGCGCUGAACAUCCGCCGCUGACUGGCGGUUACAACGUUGAGAUUUGAAUUUAAACCCAGUAGAUUCAGAAGCUGAGACAAAAGUACCCGCAGCCCAUGCAUCAGAGCUCAAGCAUUGUAACGCUCGCCGUUAAGCAGCGAACGUCGCAGACGGAGGACACUUAGCAAGCAUCAUUUCAAAGACAGCAGGGCGUGCAGACAUACAUGCAUGGGUAUGGCAGUAACAACAAGUAUACAUCAUCACCAUUAUGGUUUUCAGUAUUGCCUCACCAGUAGCUUUCUAUAUGUAUGUGUCGGGCAAUAGCGGAUGGGCUCACAACCUGACUGCAUGCCACAUAGCGCAUUUACGUCAAACCCUUUUGUGGCAACUUUAAGACAACAAGUACCGCACUUAACCUCAUCUUAUAAAAUCAGCGCAGUAAAAAAGAUUGGAAUAAAAAUAAGUGAUAAUAUAAAAAAAGAAAAAUGUUACCAUAAUCAGGCGUUGUGAAAAGAAACGUUUUGAAGAUAUUUUUGUAUAGCCGAAAGCACUCAAGUUACUGGCGACGCGCCCUUCCUCCAGUGAAAGCGACUAGUUUUCUUC